rnacentral:rRNA from 1 species
GAUGAACGCUGGCGGCGUGCCUAAUACAUGCAAGUCGAGCGAACAGAUGAAGUGCUUGCACUUCUGACGUUAGCGGCGAACGGGUGAGUAACACGUAAGGAAUCUACCUAUAAGCGGGGGAUAACAUUCGGAAACGGGCGCUAAUACCGCAUAAUAUCUUCUUCCGCAUGGAAGAAGAUUGAAAGACGGCUCUGCUGUCACUUAUAGAUGACCUUGUGGUGCAUUAGUUAGUUGGUGGGGUAAUGGCCUACCAAGACGAUGAUGCAUAGCCGACCUGAGAGGGUGAUCGGCCACAUUGGGACUGAGACACGGCCCAAACUCCUACGGGAGGCAGCAGUUGGGAAUCUUCCGCAAUGGGCGAAAGCCUGACGGAGCAAUGCCGCGUGAGUGAAGAAGGCCUUCGGGUCGUAAAACUCUGUUAUAAGAGAAGAACAAAUUGUAGAGUAACUGCUACAGUCUUGACGGUAUCUUAUCAGAAAGCCACGGCUAACUACGUGCCAGCCGCCGCCGUAA